rnacentral:antisense_RNA from 1 species
GCGGUCCGGAGAAGGUAUGGCCCCACUGCUGGGGCAAGGGCUCUAGGCGCCCGGACCCCACGCCCGCAGCCUGCGGAGAACGUGCCGACAAGGACCUAGAGGGCCCCGCUCUCCCUCCUCCCUCCCUCGGCGCAGCCCGGCCCAGGGGUCUGUCCUCCCAGGCCCGGGAAAGGAGGAAACCCACUUCCGCCGCGUCCAUGAUCUCCCGCGGCUUCUCCUGACUCUUGCGGCUGGCGCUGGCGCUGGGCAUCGGGACACGGAACUGGGCAGUGGACACCACCCUCCCUCGCAGGCUUCCAAAGUAAUUUGAAGGCUUUCCCUGACUUAAAGUGGAUGCUGCUUUGGAAAGCACCGGAAAAAUGGAUCCUGUCUUUCUCAGCCAAGGACUGGUCUCUUUUCUCCAGUAUGUUCCUAACAGAGUGGGAGUCUGGCUGUUCCACCAGUACAGGAAGAUCAUUCCUUAAAAGAAAUAGCCAUAUGGCUUAUAAGGGACUAUAUCUUAGGACUGUGUGUCUUCUGCAGUUCUUUGCAUAGAGUCAAUGUUGAAGGACAAGCAACUUCAAAUUUCCAAGCAACAAAAUUAUGUUCGGGUGGUUUUCUGAAAGCGAGAUCUUAAGAACCACCCGUAUCAGAAUCCCAUGAAGAGCUUGUUUAGUGUGCAAAUUUCCAGAUUGUCCCCCCUCAGAAAUGCUCAUUCAGGAGUUCAUGUCCUUUGCAGGGAUGUGGAUGAAGCUGGAAACCAUCAUCCUCAGCAAACUAACACAGG